rnacentral:rRNA from 1 species
UACGGGGGUGGCAAGCGUUGUUCGGAAUUACUGGGCGUAAAGGGCUCGUAGGUGGCCAACUAAGUCAGACGUGAAAUCCCUCGGCUUAACCGGGGAACUGCGUCUGAUACUGGAUGGCUUGAGUUUGGGAGAGGGACGCGGAAUUCCAGGUGUAGCGGUGAAAUGCGUAGAUAUCUGGAGGAACACCGGUGGCGAAGGCGGCGUCCUGGACCAACACUGACACUGAUGAGCGAAAGCCAGGGGAGCAAACGGG